rnacentral:tmRNA from 1 species
GGGGAUGAUGUGAUUCGACAGUGGAUUAACGUUUUUGACAUGCGGAUCGGUGAUUGCUCAAGACCACCUUAAAUCUCGGGCGCCAAACGUGUGAAUACGUUUGUAAAGAGUCCUUUACAGCCCGCUUACGCGACUGUGUAAGAACACUCUUCCGUUCCCGCUUCGGUCGGAACGGCAUCAGACUCCUGACGCCUAAUAGGGAGUUUCUGGUGUCAUAAUAUCAGGCUUUGGGUUUUUGACUGCUCACCGAAGACUCGAAUUCAAGAGCUCGACCGAUGGUAUUUUCGUUCGUCUUUAAUACCAACGGUUUAAACUUCAAGACAAACUAAGUUCCGUAGUACUGUCAGAGCGCCAUCCAUUGGACGAGGGCUCAAUACCCUCCAUCUCCACAC